rnacentral:rRNA from 1 species
GGUUUUCGGAUCGUAAAACUCUGUUGUAAGGGAAGAACAAGUACAGUAGUAACUGGCUGUACCUUGACGGUACCUUAUUAGAAAGCCACGGCUAACUACGUGCCAGCAGCCGCGGUAAUACGUAGGUGGCAAGCGUUGUCCGGAAUUAUUGGGCGUAAAGCGCGCGCAGGCGGUCCUUUAAGUCGGAUGUGAAAGCCCACGGCUCAACCGUGGAGGGUCAUUGGAAACUGGGGGACUUGAGUGCAGAAGAGGAAAGUGGAAUUCCAAGUGUAGCGGUGAAAUGCGUAGAGAUUUGGAGGAACACCAGUGGC